AUUUCCUUGAUCUUCCAGGGAGGAAACAGACAAGAAAUGCUUUACCUUCUAGAGGAAAAAGGCUAAAGGAAAAAAGAAAACAGUACUGGAAUAAUAUUUAAUUUCAGGAAUAUUUUUUAAAAAUGCUCUAAAAACAGUCACACACCAGAAUGUGGGAUCUGAAAUUAGAUAAACUGAGGCUACAGCA